CCGAAUGGGGAAACCCGGUACGGCAAUACCGUAUCACUGCAUGGUAAAUACAUAGCCAUGUGGAGGAAACCCUCUGAACUGAAACAUCUAAGUAGGAGGAGGAAGAGAAAGAAACAUCGAUUUCCUAAGUAGCGGCGAGCGAAAGGGAAAGAGGCCAAACCAGAGAUAGCAAUAUCUUUGGGGUUGCGGACUGCAUAAUUGAUUUAACAUCUUUAGCAGAAGUGUAUGGGAAGACACACCAUAGUAGGUAAUAGUCCUGUAAGCGAAAGGGAUGUUAACAUGGCAGGAUCCAGAGUACCACCGGACACGAGGAACCCGGUGGGAAGCCGGGGGGACCACCCCCCAAGCCUAAAUACUACCUGAUGACCGAUAGUGAAAAGUACAGUGAUGGAAAGUUGAAAAGAACCCCGGAAGGGGAGUGAAAAAGAAUCUGAAACCCUAUGUUUACAAGCUGCUAGAGCACUAUAUAUGUGCGAUAGCGUACUUUUUGUAGAACGGUCCGGCGAGUGUAUGUUGCAAGCGAGGUUAAGGUGUUAAGCACUGAAGCCGAAGGGAGACCGAGUGUGAAUAGCGCGUACAGUUUGCAGUAUACGACCCGAAACCGGGUGACCUAACCAUGGACAGGUUGAAGUGGAAGUAAAAUUCCAUGGAGGACCGAACCCACGUCUGUUGAAAAAGGCGGGGAUGAGCUGUGGUUAGCGGUGAAAUUCCAAUCGAACUCGGAUAUAGCUGGUUCUCAUCGAAAUAGCUUUAGGGCUAGCCUCAGGAUAGUUUAGCGGAGGUAAAGCACUGAAUGGGCUAGGGGGCUUCACGGCUUACCGAACCCUAUCAAACUCUGAAUGCCGCAUAAAUGUUUCCUGGGAGUCAGACUGCGUGAGAUAAGUUUCGUAGUCAAAAGGGAAAGAGCCCAGACCUACAGCUAAGGUCCCUAAAUGAAUUUAAGUGGAAAAGGAUGUGCAGUUGCGUAGACAACUAGGACGUUGGCUUAGAAGCAGCCACUCAUUUAAAGAGUGCGUAAUAGCUCACUAGUCGAGUGAUUGUGCGCCGAAAAUGUAACGGGGCUAAAAUUCAUACCGAAGCUUAGGAAUGAUAGUAAUAUUGUUGGUAGAUGAGCGUUGUGUAAGUCUGCGAAGCUACACCGAAAGGAGUAGUGGAGAUAUCACAAGUGAGAAUGCCGGAAUGAGUAGCGAGAAUUAUGUGAGAAUCAUAAUGGUCGAAAAUCUAAGGUUUCUUGAGGAAGGUUCGUCCGCUCAAGGUAAGCCGGGAGCUAAGGCGAGGCCGAGAGGCGUAGUCGAUGCACAUACGGUAAAGAUUCCGUAGCCACCGAAGUCGUUAAAUACAGGGACACAGGAACAUAGCCUAACCCCACCGUUGGUUGAGUGGGGCGUAAGGGAGCGAAAAUUAGUAGCGAAGUAGGUGAUUGUACACUGGCGAGAAAAGCUGUAUGAAUUGACCAGGUGCCCGUACCGCAAACCGACACAGGUAGAUGAGGAGAGAAUCCUAAGACCAGCGGGAGAAGUGUUGUUAAGGAACUCGGCAAAAUGACCCCGUAACUUCGGGAUAAGGGGAGCCUACGCGAGUAGGCCGCAGAGAAUAGUCUCAAGCGACUGUUUAGCAAAAACACAGGUCUAUGCUAAAUCGAAAGAUGAUGUAUAUGGGCUGACGCCUGCCCGGUGCUGGAAGGUUAAGGGGAAGUGUUAGAGCAAUCGAAGCACUGAACUUAAGCCCCAGUAAACGGCGGCCGUAACUAUAACGGUCCUAAGGUAGCGAAAUUCCUUGUCAGGUAAGUUCUGACCCGCACGAAUGGCGUAACGACUUGAGAGCUGUCUCAACAACAUACCCGGCGAAAUUGAAGUACUGGUAAAGAUGCCAGUUACCCGUGAUAAGACGGAAAGACCCCAUGGAGCUUUACUGUAACUUGAUAUUGAAUUUUUGUAUUACAUGUACAGGAUAGGUGGGAGACAGAGAACUAAUGCCGCCAGGUGUUAGGGAGUCGAUGUUGGGAUACCACUCUUGUAAUAUGAAGGUUCUAACCUGCACCCGUGAAUCCGGGUGGGGGACACUGUCAGGUGGACAGUUUGACUGGGGCGGUCGCCUCCUAAAAGGUAACGGAGGCGUUCAAAGGUUGGUUCAGCACGGACGGAAAUCGUGCAACGAGUGCAAACGCAUAAACCAGCCUAACUGCGAGACCGACAAGUCGAGCAGUAACGAAAGUUGGAGUUAGUGAUCCGGCGGUA
rnacentral:rRNA from 1 species